AAUAGAUACCCUGGUAGUCCACGCCGUAAACGAUGAGAACUAGCUGUCAGGGCCUUUCAGGCUUUGGUGGCGCAGCUAACGCAUUAAGUUCUCCGCCUGGGGAGUACGGUCGCAAGAUUAAAACUCAAAGGAAUUGACGGGGGCCUGCACAAGCGGUGGAGCAUGUGGUUUAAUUCGAAGCAACGCGCAGAACCUUACCAGCGUUUGACAUCCUGAUCGCGGUUACCAGAGAUGGUUUCCUUCAGUUCGGCUGGAUCAGUGACAGGUGCUGCAUGGCUGUCGUCAGCUCGUGUCGUGAGAUGCUGGGUUAAGUCCCGCAACGAGCGCAACCCUCGUCCUUAGUUGCCAUCAUUCAGUUGGGCACUCUAAGGAAACCGCCGGUGAUAAGCCGGAGGAAGGUGGGGAUGACGUCAAGUCCUCAUGGCCCUUACGCGCUGGGCUACACACGUGCUACAAUGGCGGUGACAGUGGGCUGCAAUCCCGCAAGGGUGAGCUAAUCUCCAAAAGCCGUCUCUA
rnacentral:rRNA from 1 species